AGCGAACGCUGGCGGCAGGCCUAACACAUGCAAGUCGAGCGCUCGUAGCAAUACGAGAGCGGCAGACGGGAGAGUAACACGUGGGAACGUACCCUUUGGUUCGGAACAACCCAGGGAAACUUGGGCUAAUACCGGAUAAGUCCGCAAGGAGAAAGAUUUAUCGCCGAAGGAUCGGCCCGCGUCUGAUUAGCUAGUUGGUGAGGUAACGGCUCACCAAGGCGACGAUCAGUAGCUGGUCUGAGAGGAUGAUCAGCCUCACUGGGACUGAGACACGGCCCAGACUCCUACGGGAGGCAG
rnacentral:rRNA from 1 species